GUUAUACAAUUAAUAUUAAUUAAUAAUUUUGGUUUUGGAGUUAAAAUUAUUUGUUUUGAAUUUAAUUUUUUUGUUUUUAGGUAAAAUUUAAAUUUUAAUUAAUUUUUUUUUGAUUCUUUGAAGCAUAUAAUAUAGACUAGGAUUAGAUACCCUAUUAUAAUAUGUUUAAAUUUUUAACUUGGGUAGUAUUAGUUAUGUUCUUUAAACCUAAAGAAUUUGGCGGUGUUUUAGUCUAUUUAGAGGAAUUUGCUCUUUAAUCGAUAGUCCUCGUUUUAUCUUACUUAAUUUUGUUAAUCAGUAUGUAUACCGCCGUUAUAAGUUUAUUUUAUUAGAAUAAAAAUUUACUUAAUUCUUUUUUAUGAAUUAUUUC
rnacentral:rRNA from 1 species